GCGGCUACGCUACGUGCGCUAGCGUGUUGGCUAUAGGGCAUGUGUUGGAUAUAGGGCAUGUGUUGCCACACUUGAGAGCAACACGACGGGACGUGUGAGUAAACACUGUGUAAGUGCAAAUGGUUGCAUUUGUCGGGCGUGUUAGCGUGUGGAGAGGAGGGAUUGAGUUUGUCUAGAGUCUUGAGUGUCGUUGUGGUGCAGCGUGUAAAUAGCAGUCAGGAAACAGCUUCCAAAAGGUGUAUCAAGCUAGCGGUUUGCUCACCCUACCUAGACAACAGGAGGACAGCAUUACAACUUCACAAUUGCCUUAACCCAAGUCCUAGCCUAGUCCAAGCCUACUCAAAGUCUAAGCCUGGUCCAAGUCUGGUCCAAGCCUGGUCCAAGUCUGGUCCAAGCAUAGUCCUCGUCUAUUCCAAGCAUAGUCCCUUCCUAGUCCAAGCCUAGUCCUAGUCUAGUCUAAAACCAAAUCCUAAUCUAGUCCAACCUAAUACUAAUCUAUUCCAAACCAAGUCCUAGUCUAUUCUAAACCUAAUACUAGCCUAGUCCAAACCUAAUCUAAGACUAGUCGAAAUCUGGUCCAAACCUAGGCCUUGUCUAGUCCAAGCCUAAUACUAUUCUAGUCUAAACCUAGUCCUGAUCUAGUCUAAAACCUAAUAUUAGUCCACUCCAACCCCCAUUGCUCCAUCACGUUUAGGGGGAAGGUGUAAUAAACAUGUGAUCACAUCAGGAUGCCUACAACGCGCUUCUCAGCAGACACAAUCUGAAGUUACGCAACACAAGAGUCUAACUAAAAACAGCCGAUCGCAAAAAGGAUGGAGUUUAUAUGAUGGUUUUUACACACAUGCAGAGACCCUUUAAUGAGCCGAGGUCUGUUAUAAAGCAUCUAAAGUCUAGACAUGUUAGCGUUAAAAAGGACCUAAAGUGUGUCUUUCAUAUUAAUCCUUCCAUGAACAGCACUCCUGUUUCCAACACCUUCAUGAGUAGUCCCGGUGGAAAAUGAUUCUGACUCCAUAAAUCCUGUGUGUAUGUUUUGUGUAUAGGCCUAUUCAUGUGUCUGCAUAACUAAGAAAGCCAUAUCUGACUGAUAUAUAAUCUCUUCUUAGCCUUUACGUUAUGCGGUUGCCCUCUUUGCUCUAGCCGGAAGACGCUUUGUACGAUUUGUCAAACUGCAACAACUUUUAGUGAUAUAUAUAAUAAGAAGAAAGGCUGUAUUUUUCUAUUCUCGACUCCAGUUUGCGGGUCCCCUUUUUCCUAUCCUUUCCCAAUGUUUAUGCGUUGAUGAACAAGAUGCUGAGUCAUGUCUUUAGACUUUAGUAAAUUUUUCAGUCAUCCAAUACUGGGUCACGCUCCACAGUGGGUGGCAAAGCAGGG
ensembl:lncRNA